UACAGAGGUCUCAAGCGUUGUUCGGAAUUACUGGGCGUAAAGGGCUCGUAGGCGGCCAACUAAGUCGGACGUGAAAUCCCUCAGCUUAACUGGGGAACUGCGUCCGAUACUGGAUGGCUUGGAUUUGGGAGAGGGAUGCGGAAUUCCAGGUGUAGCGGUGAAAUGCGUAGAUAUCGAGAGGAACACCUGCGGCGAAGGCGGGUUGCUGGGCUGACACUGACGCUGAGGCGCGAAAGCUAGGGGAGCGAACGGG
rnacentral:rRNA from 1 species